UUUUGGAUUUCCGUUUUUAACUUUGACCGUUUAUCUUAUUAAAAAAUUAUAAAUAAAACUAAAAGCAAUCAUGCAUGAAGUAUUGUUUAUGUGUUACCAUCUAAUAGCAAUAAAAUAUUAAUUAUAAAAAAAUUUAAAUAAGAUGGACGGUUAAAGUUAGACACAAAUAUCUAAAAAUGAAGUCUUU
rfam:Leersia perrieri chromosome 6, whole genome shotgun sequence.